UCCUCUAUAGCAUGGUCUCAGUAUUAUUUCUUAAGAGGUCACAAGAGGAGAGUCCCCUCCUGUUGUAUCCUGUGACUAUAGCACUGCUUAUGAUACCAAUCACUUGUUAUCUGGUGGUACUAAUUUCUCUGUUAGAUUGUGGGACCUCUACAAAGGAAUAUUGUUCCACACUAUUGCAGUUCAUGGUGGGUGGUCAGUAGCAUUGUAGCAUGUCCUCCUCAUAUUAAUCUCACCUAGACUCCUAGUAUCAUGCCUUCAUGCAUGGAACCUUGACAACUCACUGGACAAAGAGUGUGAGGAUACAUUAGGAUUAGUAAGGUCAUCCUGUCCUGUCUCAUUUGGUUUAUUGAGUAAAGGAGGAAGACUGUCACUAGUACUGCCUGCCUGGGGACUGGUUAAAGAGAGUCCGUCACCUGUUCAUAUUAAUGGAGGAGUGGCUCUGGAUGAUUUAUUGAUACUAA